GACGAACGCUGGCGGCGUGCCUAAUACAUGCAAGUCGACCGCAGUGGGGACGGGUGAGUAACACGUCGGUAACCUCCCCCUCAGCGGGGAUAACACUUGGAAACAGGUGCUAAACCGAUACUGCUGGAUGGACCCGCGGUGCAUUAGCUAGGUGGUGAGGUACCGGCGAACCAAGGCCACGACGCAUAGCCGACCUGAGAGGGUGAGCGGCAACACUGGGACUGAGACACGGCCCAGACUCCUACGGGAGGCAGCAGUAGGGAAUCUUCGGCAAUGGACGAAAGGCUGACCGAGCAACGCCGCGUGAGUGAAGAAGGUUUUCGGAUCGUAAAACUCUGUUGUUAGAGAAGCGGGAGCUAACCAGAAAGCCACGGCUAACUACGUGCCAGCAGCCGCGGUAAUAC
rnacentral:rRNA from 1 species